rnacentral:rRNA from 1 species
AAUCUUCGGCAAUGGACGAAAGUCUGACCGAGCCAUGCCGCGUGUGUGAAGAAGGUCUUCGGAUUGUAAAGCACUUUACGUUGGGAGGAAGGGCAGUAAGUUAAUACCUUGCUGUUUUGACGUUACCGACAGAAUAAGCACCGGCGAACUUCGUGCCAGCAGCCGCGGUAAUACGAAGGGUGCAAGCGUUAAUCGGAAUUACUGGGCGUAAAGCGCGCGUAAGUGGUUUGUUAAGUUGGAAGCGAAAGCCCCGGGCUUAACCUGGGAAUUGCUUUCAAAACUGACGAGCUAGAGUACGGUAGAGGGUAGUGGAAUUUCCUGUGUAGCGGUGAAAUGCGUAGAUAUAGGAAGGAACAUCAGUGGCGAAGGCGACUACCUGGACUGAUACUGACACUGAGGUGCGAAAGCGUGGGGAGCAAACAGG